CCAUCUUUAUGCACUCUUUAUUUUUCCCUUAAUUAAGAAAAAUCAAAUAAAAAUAAAAUAAAAGAAAGCAGCAAGUGGAGGAAACUUACCUUUUCCUUCAUUAGGCUAUUAUUGGGCUAGGUUAGAAUAAAGAGGGAAGGAAAGAAGAAAAGAGCCAUUUUGGCUCCUUGGUGCCGUCGGCCUAGUGAGAGAAGGAGAGAGAGAGUGGACAAAAUUCUAGAGAAAGAGAGAAGGAAGAGAAAGAAGGAGAAGAGAAGAGGAAGAAUGGUAGGGUUCCAAAAACCACUAGGGAAGUGAUUCAAUGGUGGUGGCCAAAUUGAGUUUUUGUACUCUAUCAAAGGAGGUAGCAAAUAGGGUUUCUCAUUGGCACGCAUGAUAUUGUGGGGAGUUCCGACGUUAGGUUGUGUAUGGCGUGGGGGUAUCCAAUGGGUGAACAAACGAUCAGCUUAAAAUGCCAAAGUUUAAAGGGAAAUGUUAUGUUUUUAUUUUGAUUUCCAAACUUGUCACUGGGACUUGAACUAUAUUUAAUUUUCAAAAGAUUGCAUUAGAACUUUUAUUUUACUUUAAACUAUUGGGCCAAUUCACAUGUUUUAGCAAGGCCCCACUGACAUUUUCAUAUAAUAAGGGGUUUUUGUUCUUUAAGUUUAUGAACAUGUAAAAGUUUUACAAA